rnacentral:sRNA from 1 species
UUAACUUAAAUAUUAACACACACACAUAUCGACACAUACACUUGGGUGCAUGUUUCCUUAAAUUUUAAGGCACGUGUUGGUGCUAUGGGAUAUGUGGAGGCCUAAC